CAUCCAAAUAGCAAUAUCCCACCCUUUGUGUUUCUUACAGGACUCUUCCAGUACCCUAGGGUCCAGGAGGGUGCCAGAAACUGCUGUCUCUCACCUGUUGAUGGAGCUGACACUGGGGACAGUGUCAUUGUCACAAACGCCUUCUGCCAGGAGCCGGUCCCGGAUCUCCCAAGCAAACAUGCUGGAAAUAAGUACAUCCAAACUUAUAUCUGGAUGUAACGCUCCCAUGUUUAAGAAUGGUUAAAGAAAAGACAAGGCAUCCUUUCAUUCAUGGUGAAAGUCCACUUUGCUUUUCUGUCUCUGGAAUGUCCGCGUAAUGGCAGAGGUAUCCAGGCUUAAGAAUACUGCCUGUGGUGGCCCUCAGACUCUCUGUCCCCAAUGCUUCAUGGGAAGGAUGAGGUCUACUGCUGUUGCUCUUCCCCAUAGCUUUAUCCUGACCCAGCUAGGGCCACUAAGCCCAACUUCAUUGCCCACCACACUGAAGGGCUUAGUUUUGGCCAAUAGACAUCUGUGUAAGCUUGGAGGUAGCUGUGUACUGGGCUCGGGACAGAUGCCAAAGGGCCCCAGGAGAAGAAUUGCUCCAAAAUUCUAAAGCAGAGCAGAAUGGUAGGGGUGGCAGUGUCUUCUGAGCAGGGGAUCCUGCCUGAAUAAUGUGCCUUCAAUGCCUCAUUCCCAGGAUACAAAAGGCUGGACUCUGCAAAGAAUAAGUCCUUAAAAUUGCCACUAGUAACUAUCCAUCUCAAAGAAGAUCCGUGAACUCCAGGGACCCGGUAUUAUUUGAUGCAGCUACUAGCAAAUGAUCACCUAUCCCUGAACCUCAGCUUUUGAGAACAAUGCUGAACCCGAGAAUGUCUACUGAACCUCCAUGACCAUCCGCGUUCUUUAAUUUUAUAAGGUCCUGGGGUCAGGGAAACAGGGCAUGGCUGAAUGCAGCAUAUUCCCUUAUUCAGAUCUGAAACCAUAUGCUACAAAACCAAGAUGGUAUGGGCUGUUUCCCCAUUCAAAAAUGAUCCCACAGUCCAGAGCAGAGACCCAGGGAGCUUGGAUUCUAUGUCCCCACUAGGUCUGUUAUCAUUUUCUUGCAACUGUGGAUUCAACCAGAAUAUAAGCAGUCGCACCUGUAAUACCUAGGUCUCUAGGAGUCUCUGAUAACGGAGGGCUUCUCUUUCCCAUUAUCACCUCUUGUUCUAGGGCAAUUUCAAAGCACUGAAAGUUUUAUUCCCAGUGUGUUUAUGUGUGUAAGAAGAUAAUGUAUGCAAGCUUAUAUCUGCCAGUAUAUGUGGUAUAUGGAUGAGAUGGAGAACUAAACUGAAAACGGCCAGGUGUCCAGACUACAAAAUUUAAGAAGCCACUCACUCAUUCUCAGAACUGGCCAUGCCCUUGCAUGAGCUCACAAGAAAGUGGCUUGUGAACCUUUAUACUUCUCUCUAGUUUCAGCCUUCAGAAAAGACCACAGACAACUCUCUCUCUCUCUCUCUCUCUCUCUCUCUCUCUCUCUCUCUCUCUCUCAUCUUAGAGCUUCUUAAUCUACCCUCCUCAUACUUUGGGAUGUACCACAAAGUGACUAAGAGUGCUCUAGAUUUUAAGAAGAGGUCCCUGGUCUAACACAGGACUGUAGGACCUGGAUUCAGAUGUGCAAACUCCCAGUCUCCUGUCAGUACAGUCUGAUGACAGGGCCUCAUCUGUGAUUCCCCUUGACCUUAACACUUCUGGGACAGUUAGACUAUUUAGUGUAAUUAAAUACUAAGAGGCUCUUGGAGUUUGUGUUUGAGUAUCCUGACAGACCCACACAUAGCUCAAGCCUAGAGUAUAGGAGCUAUAUGCAAAUAGACUACAAACAUCCAUAAAAUCACAGCAGUAAGAUUUCUUGAGGAAAUGAGGAAGAGGAAAAAAGUAGAAAACUUAACAAGAGAUGGUGGGUCUGCUGAGAAUAGUUCAGAUACAGGCAGCAAGUGCUUCACUCACAUGACGUCACCUCUUUGAGGCAGGACCAGUGAGUCCCAACCACCGACAAAAUCAACAGCUCCUGAGCUCACACAGUAUAAACAGACAGUCAGAAGAGCUUCAGAGCUCGGCAUGCAUGAUCCUAAAGGGCAGCCUUUUAAGACCCCCUUUUAAUCCUCUAUCAACGGGAGCCUGAGGUUCUCUGGGCUCAAGGUGGGUACUGUCUAUGUGGGGCAGAUCGACAAACAGAAAAAAGUAGUCUGCAAACAGUGAAAGGCUGAGACAAUUGUGUCUACACUACAUGAUACAGAGAACAACUUCUAGAGAGAUGGAAUCCAAACAGUACAUCCUGGGCUGGUGCAGAUGUGCUGCUGAGCCUCAGGUAUUCCCAGGCAGAGGACCCCUUCCAUCUGAUGGAGCCUAGCAUUUCAGCUCUGCAGAAAUGCGCAUCUGUUCAUGAUACUGACACUUAUAAUUCUGCCUCAUUUUGAGUUAUCCAGCCAUAUAGAGAUGAAUCUCCAGGAGAUUGCUGGUCCAAUCCAGAAUCCCAGGAUACCUUUCUGGAGCAGAAUGCUUCUAGGAUCCACCAGACCACAGAUGGCCACAGGAGGUUUAUAUGUCAGCCAUGAUGAUGUGUCUUCUCUCUAGUAGCAGUUCAAGGCAAAUGACCUCAGCUUCCUGAUGCUCCCAAAUGACCUGUCUGUGUUUGUCCUCGUCCUGCCCCUGAACUGUUUUGUCUGCUCAUUGCCAGUUCUGGUACUCUGGGUCUGUUGCCUUUAAAGGGAUGCACAGGAAUCCACUUUCCUGCCCUGAGUUGGUGCCUCUCAACUCUUCAUGAUGGAAGCCCAGUCACUCACUUUUUUUUGUUCUGGCCACAAAUGUUACCAUCCCUGGUGUGGUGCCCUGAACAUGGAAGGCGGCACUUUAUGUAGGCUAGUUAAGCUGAAAUAAACUGCUGCCUCUCAGAUUCCUGCUGCUUCU
ensembl:processed_transcript Gm13415 predicted gene 13415